rnacentral:rRNA from 1 species
AGUGAACGCUGGCGGCAGGCUUAACACAUGCAAGUCGAGCGGGCACUUUCGGGUGUCAGCGGCGGACGGGUGAGUAACGCGUGGGAACGUGCCCUCUGGUUCGGAAUAACUCAGGGAAACUUGAGCUAAUACCGGAUACGCCCUUUUGGGGAAAGGCUUGCUGCCGGAGGAUCGGCCCGCGUCUGAUUAGCUAGUUGGUGAGGUAACGGCUCACCAAGGCGACGAUCAGUAGCUGGUCUGAGAGGAUGAUCAGCCACACUGGGACUGAGACACGGCCCAGACUCCUACGGGAGGCAGCAGUGGGGAAUAUUGGACAACGGGCGCAAGCCUGAUCCAGCCAUGCCGCGUGAGUGAUGAAGGCCUUAGGGUUGUAAAGCUCUUUUAUCCGGGACGAUAAUGACGGUACCGGAGGAAUAAGCCCCGGCUAACUUCGUG